AGUGGCAAAACAGGCCAUAGCAGAAGCUCUCGCAGCGCGGCCCUGUCAUAUUCCAAUGAAUCUGCAAAUUCUGCU
rnacentral:ribozyme from 1 species